AUCACUUCUCAGUCUUUUGACUAAGAUCAAGUGUAGUAUCUGAAGCAUCCUCUAUCCAAGGACAAUAUAUUAAAUUGAUUUUUGGAGCAGGUAGAUGGAAUAGGAGCUUUCUCUGUCCACUCCACACAUUUACCUGGUAUAGUAGUUCCUCCAGGAAUGGUGCAUUCCCU
rnacentral:snRNA from 1 species